rnacentral:rRNA from 1 species
AUGAACGCUGGCGGCGUGCCUAAUACAUGCAAGUCGAACGCGCAGCGGAAGGUGCUUGCACCUUCAAGCGAGUGGCGAACGGGUGAGUAACACGUGGAUAACCUGCCUCAAGGCUGGGGAUAACAUUUGGAAACAGAUGCUAAUACCGAAUAAAACUUAGUAUCGCAUGAUACAAAGUUGAAAGGCGCUACGGCGUCACCUAGAGAUGGGUCCGCGGUGCAUUAGUUAGUUGGUGGGGUAAAGGCCUACCAAGACAAUGAUGCAUAGCCGAGUUGAGAGACUGAUCGGCCACAUUGGGACUGAGACACGGCCCAAACUCCUACGGGAGGCUGCAGUAGGGAAUCUUCCACAAUGGGCGAAAGCCUGAUGGAGCAACGCCGCGUGUGUGAUGAAGGCUUUAGGGUCGUAAAGCACUGUUGUAUGGGAAGAAAUGCUAGAAUAGGGAAUGAUUCUAGUUCGACGGUACCAUACCAGAAAGGGACGGCUAAAUACGUG